rnacentral:lncRNA from 1 species
CUAUUUUCAACGUUUUGUGAAAACUGAGGAAUGUCAUACAUCCAUGGUCUAAACUUUGAGAUUAUUACAUUUUGACUUUUUCUUCCAAGACAUCAGUGCACACAUGCUUGAAUUUGGCCAAGAGAAAAAUGAGAGAUGUUUAGAAGGGUUUGGAAAGGGAAUGUGAUAGUUAUGUGGGCACAUCAUUCCUCACACUCUCCUCGACGAAGAUGUAAUAUGAGAGUGUCAAGGUGGAACACGAGAUACCCAAAGUGUGCCCCAGCUUGGUGUUAGGGAAAAUGAACAUAGGGUUUGGAUCUGUGAAUAUUAGGGUGAAAAAAUCAAGUGAAACUUGCGAAGCUGUCCCAAUUUGAUUAUGGGUUGAUGAAAAGCUCGUGUGAGACUCACAAAGUUGCCCCAUUUUUUUUGUUUGGCAUAGGGUUUUGUUUGAAAGAGGCGGUGGGCAUGAAAAGGAUCGGCUAACAAGGUUGGCCCCAAUUAGUUUGAUUUUUUUUUUUGGCUGGGCUGCAAGGAGAUCCCCUCUUCUUGAGACAUUACCUUUUUCUUUUUUUUUUAUUCAUUCGUUUUCAACUCUUUCUUUUUUUUUACGACAUAUUGAAAGUCAUUUUGCCUUAUCGCAAAAUUAAGCUUUAUAAAAAAUUGAGCAAUCAUUAUUCAAUCUGCGUGGACUUUAUUAGGCUUGUAAUGUGGCUAGGGGCUAAAAGGUAUUUAAAAAAAAAAAGGAUAUAAAGGCCCAAAUGAAUGUUUGUUGGUUAUAUUUUUGGAAACAAGGGCUAUCAUCUAGGCAUUGCAUCAACUAUUUGACUUUUUGAGCACUUUGCUUUUCUUGAACUUCAUUUUUCAUUCUUCUUCAUCAUCACUUUGAGAUUCUUUUUUUGCUUUUUUUUUGUUAACUCUUCUUGGUGAAUUCUCUUCGUUUGAUCAUUGAAUGCUCUCCAUUUGCGUCAUGAGUUGACUUCCUUCUAUUGAUAACCCUUGUUUGGGGAUAUUUUUGAAAAAGAAUUUAUUUUUGGCUCAAAUGGGGUAACAAUGGUAUGUUUUUUGCUUUUUAGAUAAAGAAAGAAGGCCACACAUCAUUUCAAAUUCUGAUUGCUUUAUUUUCAAAAGAUUAACUUUGUGACUAGAUGACCUCAACAUAAGUUUCCUUUUCUAGACUGCCCUUUCAGGUUUUCAAUCUAGGGGACUUAUUCUUUUUCUUUUUUCUUUUUUUUUCUUGUUUUUUUUUUAAAGAAAAAAUUCUUUUGUCUCAAUGGAUUCAGGGAUCACCCUACUAGCGUAAGUGAGAAGAAUUUUGGCCAAGCCAAUUUGCCCCAGUGUAAAA